CAAUGAAUAUUUAGGUUUCUAUUGUGACACAUAGGCCUAUGUCGCAAUAGGUAGGAGAAUCAAAUAAAAAACGAAAAAAAUUACAAUUUAUAUUUAUUUUAUAUAAUAAACUUGGAAACCGGGUUGUUGGAUAGUUCCCCGGUUGGGCGCGCGGUGAAUGUAAUGUUUACCAUUUUUAAAGUGUAGAAAGUGUUAUCAAUCACGCGUGGUCUUCUGGGAUGUGUAAACAGCUUGACUAGACCAAGUAACGUAGCCUACACAAGUCAACGUGAAAAUGCAAAGCCAGCAGACAACGAAGAGCAUGGACAGAUGUUCUUUACGUCACACUGGCACCUCCGCUGCUCAGUGGUGCAAUAAAAAGUCUGAAAAUGUCGUCAAGCAAUGCCGUGCCAGGCGCUUUGGAAGUGGAAUCAGCUGUGGAAACGGACAGACCAGCCGAUGGCGAGGCAGUGACCAGCGACCUCGACGCGGCUGCAGCAGCGAGCUUUUCAGCCUCUUUAUUAAGGGCAUGAGUAAUGCUGUGUGCAGCAGUGAGAAUGAACAGGCCUACCCAGCUGGGAGCCCAUGUUCCAGAACUCCUGGGGGUUGUAGUUGGAGGACAGCGUGCGGGAGCCGGCUGGAUAAAUCCUGCUGAUGAAUCUGGCGUUGUGGAGGACGAACUCGGGACCUGAUGGAGAACAGACAAAACGUCUGGUUACUGAGGGGUGCCAAACGUCACAACGUAAAAUGCAUUUUUACCAUGGACUUCGCCUCGGGGGGAACCUGUUGAAGCGACGGCAAAACACAUAGUUCGCAUCCUAUUUUACAAUGCAAUCCUUAAUGCCAUAAAGUUUUUUUUUUUCCUUUAAAAAAUAAA